AUGCUCGGGGGUCCGGGAGGUCCCGGGGGCGACAAGCACGCGCACGACCGUGUCCGAGGGUCUCUCAACCACCGCUUGUCGUGGCGACCGUCGCCGAGGACUCGAUUUUAGGCCAACCACGGGCGGGAGCGCGCGGGAGACCAGUAUCCGCCCCCGCCCUCGUGAGCCGAGGGGAGUGGGGGCGACGAUGCGUGACACCCAGGCAGACGUGCCCUCGACCAGGAGGCCUCGGGCGCAACUUGCGUUCAAAGACUCGAUGGUUCACGGGAUUCUGCAAUUCACACCAAGUAUCGCAUUUCGCUACGUUCUUCAUCGAUGCGAGAGCCGAGAUAUCCGUUGCCGAGAGUCGUUCAGAUUAUCACAAAAAGAAGGCGCGCCCCCGACACCGAGGCUACGAGGGCGUGCUCCUAGUACUCAAUUUCCUUGGCGCUUCUCGCGCCGGGGUUCGUUGGCGAGCCGUGUCGGGCGCAGAUGCGUCCCUCCACGGCACGCGUGGACACGAGGGGCGGGUGCCCCCCGAGCCCAGCUUGUCAUGCCACAGGUUCGCGGGU
rnacentral:misc_RNA from 1 species